rnacentral:tRNA from 10 species
CGGGGUGUGGCCCAGUCCGGCAGGGCACCUGCAUGGGGUGUAGGGGGUCGUCGGUUCGAAUCCGACCACCCCGACCA